UUGAACGCUGGCGGCAUGCCUAACACAUGCAAGUCGAACGGGGUGUAGCAAUACAUCUAGUGGCGGACGGGUGAGGAAUACAUAGGAAUUUGCCCUUAAGUGGGGGAUAGUCCGGGGAAACUCGGUUUAAUACCGCAUGAUCUCGUGAGAGCAAAGCAGGGGACCGCAAGGCCUUGCGCUUUUGGAGAAGCCUAUGUCGGAUUAGCAGUUGGUAGGGUAAUGGCCUACCAAGGCGACGAUCCGUAACUGGUCUGAGAGGAUGAUCAGUCACACCGGAACUGAGACACGGUCCGGACUCCUACGGGAGGCAGCAGUGGGGAAUAUUGGACAAUGGGCGCAAGCCUGAUCCAGCAAUGCCGCGUGUGUGAAGAAGG
rnacentral:rRNA from 1 species